UGGGGAAUCUUGCGCAAUGGGGGAAACCCUGACGCAGCAACGCCGCGUGGGUGAUGAAGGCCUUCGGGUCGUAAAGCCCUGUCAGGUGGGAAGAAACUUGUGGAUGUUAAUACCAUCCAUGCUUGACGGUACCACCGGAGGAAGCACCGGCUAACUCCGUGCCAGCAGCCGCGGUAAUACGGAGGGUGCAAGCGUUGUUCGGAAUUAUUGGGCGUAAAGCGCGUGUAGGUGGUCGUGUAAGUCAGAUGUGAAAGUCUUCUGCUUAACAGAAGAAGGGCAUUUGAAACUGCUCGACUAGAGUACGGGAGAGGAGAGUGGAAUUCCCGGUGUAGAGGUGAAAUUCGUAGAUAUCGGGAGGAACACCAGUGGCGAAGGCGGCUCUCUGGUCCGAUACUGACACUGAGACGCGAAAGCGUGGGGAGCAAACAGGAUUAGAUACCCUGGUAGUCCACGCCGUAAACGAUGGGCACUAGGUGUAGGAGGUAUUGACCCCUUCUGUGCCGAAGCUAACGCAUUAAGUGCCCCGCCUGGGGAGUACGGCCGCAAGGCUA
rnacentral:rRNA from 1 species